GACGAACGUUGGCGGCGUGCCUAAUACAUGCAAGUCAACUGAAAUACCGGUAGCAAUACUGGUAUGGAGGUGGCGCACGGGUGAGUAACACGUAGGUAAUCUGCCUUCAGGUCUGACAUAACCCAUCGAAAGGUGAGCUAAUAUCAGAUGAUGCAGCGGCUUGACAUCAAGACAGUUGUUAAAGCUUCGGCGCCUGAAGAUGAGCCUGCGUCUGAUUAGCUAGUGGCGGGUAACGCCACCAGGCUGCGAUCAGUAGCUGGUCUGAGAGGAUGAUCAGUCACACUGGAACUGAGACACGGUCCAGACUCCGUACGGGAGCAGCAGUAA
rnacentral:rRNA from 1 species